GAUGAACGCUAGCGGCAGGCUUAACACAUGCAAGUCGAGGGGCAGCAUAAUGGAUAGCAAUAUCUAUGGUGGCGACCGGCGCACGGGUGCGUAACGCGUAUGCAACCUACCUUUAACAGGGGGAUAACACUGAGAAAUUGGUACUAAUACCCCAUAAUAUCAUAGAAGGCAUCUUUUAUGGUUGAAAAUUCCGAUGGUUAGAGAUGGGCAUGCGUUGUAUUAGCUAGUUGGUGGGGUAACGGCUCACCAAGGCGACGAUACAUAGGGGGACUGAGAGGUUAACCCCCCACACUGGUACUGAGACACGGACCAGACUCGUACGGGAGGCAGCAGUGAGGAAUAUUGAUCAAUGGACGCAAGUCUGAACCAGCCAUGCCACGUGCAGGAUGACGGCUCUAUGAGUUGUAAACUGCUUUUGUACGAGGGUAAACGCAGAUACGUGUAUCUGUCUGAAAGUAUCGUACGAAUAAGGAUCGGCUAACUCCGUG
rnacentral:rRNA from 1 species